UACGUAGGUGACAAGCGUUAUCCGGAAUUACUGGGCGUAAAGCGCACGCAGGCGGCUGCUUAAGUCUGACGUGAAAUCUCCUGGCUUAACUGGGAGGGGUCGUUGGAAACUGGGUGGCUUGAGGUGGUGAGAGGGGUGCAGAAUUCCCGGUGUAGUGGUGGAAUGCGUAGAUAUCGGGAGGAAUACCAGUGGCGAAAGCGGCACCCUGGCACUGACCUGACGCUCAUGUGCGAAAGCGUGGGGAGCAAACGGG
rnacentral:rRNA from 1 species